ACGGAAGGCAGCAGUGGGGAAUAUUGCACAAUGGGGGAAACCCUGAUGCAGCGACGCCGCGUGAAGGAAGAAGUAUCUCGGUAUGUAAACUUCUAUCAGCAGGGAAGAUAAUGACGGUACCUGACUAAGAAGCCCCGGCUAACUACGUGCCAGCAGCCGCGGUAAUACGUAGGGGGCAAGCGUUAUCCGGAUUUACUGGGUGCAAAGGGAGCGUAGACGGACUGGCAAGUCUGAUGUGAAAGGCAUGGGCUCAACCUGUGGACUGCAUUGGAAACUGUCAGUCUUGAGUGCCGGAGGGGUAAGCGGAAUUCCUAGUGUAGCGGUGAAAUGCGUAGAUAUUAGGAGGAACACCAGUGGCGAAGGCGGUUAGCUGGACAAUAACUGACGCUGAGGCGCGAAAGCGUGGGUAGCAAACAGGAUUAGAUACCCUGGUA
rnacentral:rRNA from 1 species